rnacentral:misc_RNA from 1 species
UUUGUCAUCUGUCUGUAUAAAGAGACUAGAAAGAGUAUUUUGAAGCAAUGGAAAUGGGUUUCUCAAGGUUGUUGUUUUUCUUUUAUCCCGCUUUCAUUCAACUAGUGUUCGCCAUGGCACAGCCAAAUUCGCUGUAUUAUGGUUGUGGAAUAAGUGGUAAUUUUACCACUAACAGUACCUACCAAUCAAACCUUGAUCGCACCCUUACCUCCAUCUCCUCUGAUACUAAAAUCAACUACGGCUUUUACAACGAUUCAUCAGGCCAAAACACCAAUAAAGUUAAUGCAAUUGCACUUUGUAGAGGUGAUAAAAAGCCUGAUAUUUGCCGUAGUUGCAUAAAAAACUCCAGCCAGUUGCUGAGGAACCUCUGCCCCAGCCAGAAGGAGGCUAUUGGUUGGUCUGAUGAUUGUAUGUUGAGGUACUCAAACCGCUCCAUAUUUGGCAAGAUGGAAUUUAAUCCUGAACUUAUUCUGUUCAACGUUAACAACGUCUCCGACGUAACCCAAUUCAAUCAGGUGCUAAACCCUCUUUUAGCCAGCCUGACCAGUCGAGCUGCGUCUGGCGAUUCCCUUCGUAAGUUCGCAACUGGUAAUGCAACUACAAAAAAUAACCAAACCAUAUAUGCACUAGCGCAGUGCACUCCUGAUUUGUCUAAGGAGCAAUGCAGCGAUUGCUUAAUUAACGCCACUGGAUUGAUUCCACAAUGUUGUGCUGGGAAGCAAGGCGCCAGAGUUCUUACACCCAGCUGCAAUUUUAGGUACGAGAUAGAGCUUUUCUAUGACUCCGUGGGGGAGGCCAUGCCACCAUCACCAACACCAACACCUCUGCCGGUGCAGCCACCAUCACCAACACCUUUGCCGGUGCCGCCGCCAUCACCAACACCUCCGCCGGUGCCGCCGCCAUCACCAACACCUCCGCCGGUGCCGCCGCCAUCACCAACACCUCCGCCGGUGCCGCCGCCAUCACCGCCAGCUGCGCCGACGCCUCAAACACCGACUGGUAAAAGCACAACAGGAAAAGCAAGUAACAGAGCUGCAGGGGCUUUCAUCGCCAGUGUUUUUCUAGUUUUAUUUUGGUAGUAUCAAUUCAAUUCUGUAUAACUUACAACGGUGAUUAUCUUCUUGAAUAACAACUCUACUUUAAGUUUACGUGAUGUUGUGAAAUUCAAUUUCAAAUUCUUGAAAUGAUGUCAAGUGAUUUUACUAGCAAAGCAGUAACAGAGAAUUGGCCGCGGUUUGCUUCAGGCUGGUUUUAGUUCAUUGGUUUAAGCAGACCGAAAUCAAAUUGGAAGGUCCCCGGUUUAAU